CCUCGUCGAUCUGCUGCGGGCAGAUGAAAUGGAUGUGCGUGUCGAUGCCGCCCGCCGUCACGAUCAUGCCCUCGCCCGCGAUGAUCUCCGUCGCACCGCCGAUGGCCAUCGUCACGCCCGGCUGGACGUCCGGGUUGCCGGCCUUGCCGAUGGCCGCGAUCAGGCCAUCCUUGACGCCGAUGUCGGCCUUGACGAUGCCCCAGUGGUCGACGAUGACGGCGUUCGUGAUCACGGUGUCCAUCACGUCCGCGCGCACGCGCUGCGACUGGCCCAUGCCGUCGCGGA
rnacentral:sRNA from 1 species